CGAAAGCCUGACGGAGCAAUACCGCGUGAGGGAUGACUGCCUAUGGGUUGUAAACCUCUUUUUUCAGGGAGGAACACAAUGACGUGUACCUGAAGGAUAAGCAUCGGCUAACUCCGUGCCAGCAGCCGCGGUAAGACGGAGGAUGCAAGUGUUAUCCGGAAUCACUGGGCGUAAAGCGUCUGUAGGUGGUUUAAUAAGUCAACUGUUAAAUCUUGAGGCUUAACCUCAAAAUCGCAGUCGAAACUAUUAGACUAGAGUAUAGUAGGGGUAAAGGGAAUUUCCAGUGGAGCGGUGAAAUGCGUAGAUAUUGGAAAGAACACCGAUGGCGAAGGCACUUUACUGGGCUAUUACUGACACUCAGAGACGAAAGCUAGGGUAGCAAAUG
rnacentral:rRNA from 1 species